AGUAGAAAGCAAGCGCUGAUGUCUCGACAUGGCACUAUAUUUUUUUGUAACCUUCAUUUAUGUCAGUUUUAGUUUGUGAGGCAGUAAUCAGAAGAGGGAUCGUGAACAAGGUGUUGAAAACGAGUGUGGCUGCUUUGGUGGAGCUCAAUAUGCUCAAGAAUCUCACAGGCACUUUGCUGUUGCAGGCUCUUUAGGUGGAUUCAACGCUCACACCAGAAAACUAGUUCUUGAUGUAUUCAUAGCUAUUUUCCCAAGAUCCAGCUCAAAAUAUGGAGAGCUCUCAAUGCAUCAAUGAUGGAAACCAUUAACGGGAAAUAUAUCCGUAUCUCUAUCACUACACCAACUACUCAGGCUGGGACAGUGGGAGGAGGAACGCAGCUUCCGUCUCAGUCGGUGUAGUCAAACCUGCUAGCAUUAAAGGAGCUACAACAAUUUGAUAUUAAUCUUGCCUU